CAGGAGCCUAUCUCUCAAGUGACCAGGGUGAACAUCAACCUGGGGCUUAGUUAGAAUAAAGGCAAGAUGGUCUGAAGCCAAGGACUGAAUUCCAGAGACCACUGGUAACUGACCAUGAGGAGGACCAAAGAGGAGGCUGGUUUUCCAAACCUGGAGCAAGCUAUUUGGAUCUAAAACACAAUUUUCUUUGGGAAAACCAAUCCUGACCCAGUCUCAAUGGUGUGUUGCAUGGAGCUGACCCCACUUACAUCUCUGGGACUGGACCAGUGACUCAAGACUGUGAUCAGUUUAAGUCUGAAGACCUGAAUCCUGAGGAUUAACUUCAACGUGAUUCCUGGCACCCUUGGCUUUAUGUUAAUUCCAACCUGGUUUCCGAAGGGAUAACUAACGUGUGGCAUUACUGAAAACAUGCAGUGGAGAAGGUUGUGGGGCCAUUCUGCCUCUGUGCUUAGGAGGCAGUGACCUUGGAUAUGUGCCCAGAAGAACUGAAGACUUCACAGUAGGGAAAAACAACCCACAUAUCCGUUGAUGGAUACAUGGAUUCAGAACAGUAAAGAGGUCACGGGUAGAAGCAGAGAGGCUGAUCGGAGGCCACAGCCAGGAAUCCACGUGAGAGGAUGGUUGGGGAGGGGAAGGUGGGAUGCUGCCUUCUGAUGAUUACUGGAAUGUGCCCACCUGGGCAGGAGCUCAAGCCCAGCACUUUUCGAAGUGAAAUUUUCGAAGUGACGACGUCUCCGGGCUGAUUCAAUGGCUUAAUUAGACAAUCUGGGUUUUGGCUGUCAGUCUAGACAGUCAUUUUUUUUUUUUUUAAGAUUUUAUUUAUGUAUUUGACAGACAGAGAUCACAAGUAGGCGGAGAGAGGAGGAAGCAGGCACCCCGCUGAGCAGAGAACCCGCUGCAGGGGCUCAAUCCCAGGACCCAGAGAUCAUGACACUAGCCAAAGGCAGAGGCUUUAACCCACUGAGUCACCCAGGUGCCCCAAGUCUAGACAGAGUCUUGACUGAAGAAUGGUUAUGGCUGUGACUGGGAAAAGGAAAGAGCAAGGAGAUUCCAAAGGUUUGUGGGGCUUCCAGGGACCUUUUUUUUUAUUCCCUCAAGGUGUGGUCUGGCUGCUGGACUUCCAUAGGUCCACCCACACAGCUCUGGCUACAGCGUGUUUUGUUCUAGUGGGUGGCACGAGGGACCCCUGAAUUCUCUCCACAUCACCCUUUUUGUAUCAUGCAUUUAGGUCCACCCCACCAACUCGAUGCACAAAGGCUGCAAAUAUCAGGGGCUAAUAAAUGCACAAUGAUGACAGCAUCAGAAAGCACUGAACAGUUUGUGGAGCCCCUCCCCUCGUGACCUUGUUUGAUCCUUAGGACAACCCGUGAGGUAUGGCUUAAUACCAUCAUUUUAUAAUUAAGAAAACAAGGAUCAAAGAUUAGGUGACAGGACCCAAUCACACAGCAAGUGCAGUGUUGAAUAAUAUUGAGGCAACCAAGUAUGAAAUGUGAAGUAAAUAAUGUAUCUAAUACAGAAUAAAUAAACGUUCCCCAACUUAAUGAUGAAGUUUAGUGAAAUUUGUAUUCUGGUCAGACUGAGGCUAUUUUAGGCAAAUGGCUUACUAUUUAAGUACCUCUGUGUACUUUUCCACCUAUGACCGGUUGGACAGCUGUUUGCUCAUUCACUCAUUCAUUCAUUUAUUCAUUCAACAAAUAUGUAUUGAUUGGCUGCUGGGUGAAACCCCAGAGGAUGGGAAAGAAGACACCCUGCCCACCAGAGCUUUGAAGGGGAGGCGGAAAAGGGAGGGAUGCCAAAGCAGCUGCAGACACCAGUGUGGCUGUAAGAAUCUUCAAGAAGAACGCCCACAGGCUGUUCAGGAGGGUGGGGAGGAAAGGGGGGCCCGGUAAGUGGUGAGAAUCCUCUUCUGCUGCUGGUGCAGGAAAUGUGAGUCUGAGUCCCAGCCUCUAAAGCUACAUUUUGCAAUCCAGUUUCUUGUGUUGCAUUGCUCUCGGUUCAGCACAAGGCAUUCUACUAAGUUAUGAGUUUGCAUGUUCUUAGGGUUUGAAAUUCAGUUGAGGAAAAUUAUAGUUGUUAUUUAUUGUCAUCUGUGGGUAGCUGACCCACAGAUGGGAGGCUGGGCUCUGGAGUCAGUCCUGAGUUUGACUUCUGGGCUCUGCCACCUA